rnacentral:rRNA from 1 species
UACAGAGGAGCCAAGCGUUGUCCGGAUUGACUGGGCGUAAAGCGCACGCAGGCGGUUGGGCGCGUGGGGGGGGAAAUCUGGCCGCUUAACGGCCAGGCGCCAUCCCAUACGGCGCGACUGGAGUGAUGCAGAGGUCGAUGGAAUUGCCGGUGUAGUGGUGAAAUGCGUAGAGAUCAGGCGGAACACCCGUGGCGAAGGCGGCCAGCUGGGCCGUCCCUGACGCUGAGGCGCGAAGGCGUGGGGAGCGAACGGG